rnacentral:rRNA from 1 species
GAUGAACGCUGGCGGCGUGCCUAAUACAUGCAAGUCGAGCGAACAGACGAGGAGCUUACUCCUCUGACGUUAGCGGCGGACGGGUGAGUAACACGUGGAUAACCUACCUAUAAGACUGGGAUAACUUCGGGAAACCGGAGCUAAUACCGGAUAACAUGUUGAACCGCAUGGUUCAACAGUGAAAGACGGUCUUGCUGUCACUUAUAGAUGGAUCCGCGUCGCAUUAGCUAGUUGGUAAGGUAACGGCUUACCAAGGCAACGAUGCGUAGCCGACCUGAGAGAGUGAUCGGCAACACUGGAACUGAGACACGGUCCAGACUCCUACGGGAGGCAGCAGUAGGGAAUCUUCCGCAAUGGGCGAAAGCCUGACGGAGCAACGCCGAGUGAGUGAAGAAGGUCUUCGGAUCGUAAAACUCUGUUAUUAGGGAAGAACAAAUGUGUAAGUAACUAUGCACGUCUUGACGGUACCUAAUCAGAAAGCCACGGCUAACUACGUG